GACGAACGCUGGCGGCGUGCUUAACACAUGCAAGUCGAACGGUAAGGCCCUUCGGGGUACACGAGUGGCGAACGGGUGAGUAACACGUGGGUGAUCUGCCCUGCACUUCGGGAUAAGCCUGGGAAACUGGGUCUAAUACCGGAUAGGACCACUGCCUGCAUGGGUGGUGGUGGAAAGCUUUUGCGGUGUGGGGUGGGCCCGCGGCCUAUCAGCUUGUUGGUGGGGUGAUGGCCUACCAAGGCGACGACGGGUAGCCGGCCUGAGAGGGUGACCGGCCACACUGGGACUGAGAUACGGCCCAGACUCCUACGGGAGGCAGCAGUGGGGAACAUUGCACAAUGGGCGCAAGCCUGAUGCAGCGACGCCGCGUGAGGGAUGACGGCCUUCGGGUUGUAAACCUCUUUCAGCACCGACGAAGCGCAAGUGACGGUAGGUGCAGAAGAAGGACCGGCCAACUACGUGCCAGCCGCCGCAGUAC
rnacentral:rRNA from 1 species